GACGAACGCUGGCGGCGUGCUUAACACAUGCAAGUCGAACGGAAAGGCCCUGCUUGCAGGGUACUCGAGUGGCGAACGGGUGAGUAACACGUGGGUGAUCUGCCCUGCACUUCGGGAUAAGCUUGGGAAACUGGGUCUAAUACCGGAUAGGAACCAUCUUUAGUGUGGUGGUUGGAAAGUUUUUUCGGUGUAGGAUGAGCUCGCGGCCUAUCAGCUUGUUGGUGGGGUAAUGGCCUACCAAGGCGGCGACGGGUAGCCGGCCUGAGAGGGUGUACGGCCACAUUGGGACUGUGAUACGGCCCAGACUCCUGCGGGUGGCAGCAGUGGGGAAUAUUGCACAAUGGGCGCAAGCCUGAUGCAGCGACGCCUCGUGGGUGAUGAAGGCCUUCGGGUUGUAAACACCUUUCGCUAGGGACGAAGCUUUGUUGUGACGGUACCUAGAUAAGAAGCACCGGCUAACUACGUG
rnacentral:rRNA from 1 species